CCCACAGCAGGAAGUCAGGGCCACUCA
rnacentral:piRNA from 1 species